GACGAAACGCUGGCGGGCGUGCUUAACACAUGCAAGUCGAGCGGUAAGGCCCUUUCGGGGGUACGACGAGCGGCGAACGGGUGAGUAACACGUGGGUGACCUGCCCUCAGCUCUGGGAUAAGCCUGGGGAAACUGGGGUCUAAUACUGGAUAUGACUCCACGGGUGCAUGUCGUGGGGGUGGAAAGCCUUGUGCGGCUGAGGAUGGGCCCGCGGCCUAUCAGCUUGUUGGUGGGGUGAUGGCCUACCAAGGCGACGACGGGUAGCCGGCCUGAGAGGGCGACCGGCCACACUGGGACUGAGACACGGCCCGAGACUCCUACGGGAGGGCAGCAGUGGGGAAUCUUGCGCAAUGGGCGAAAGCCUGACGCAGCGACGCCGCGUGAGGGAUGACGG
rnacentral:rRNA from 1 species